rnacentral:rRNA from 1 species
UACGAAGGGGGCUAGCGUUGUUCGGAAUCACUGGGCGUAAAGCGCGCGCAGGCGGAUUGAUAAGUCGGGGGUGAAAUCCCGGGGUUCAACCUCGGAAUUGCCUUCGAUACUGUCUGUCUUGAGUCCGGGAGAGGUGAGUGGAAUUCCUAGUGUAGAGGUGAAAUUCGUAGAUAUUAGGAAGAACACCAGUGGCGAAGGCGGCUCACUGGCCCGGUACUGACGCUCAUGUGCGAAAGCGUGGGGAGCAAACAGG